rnacentral:rRNA from 1 species
GCGGAUUAGCGGCGGACGGGUGAGUAACACGUGAGUAACCUGCCUUAGACAUUGGGAUAGCCUCGGGAAACCGGGAUUAAUACCAAAUAAAAUCAUAAUGACGCAUGUCAUAACGAUCAAAACUCCGGUGGUCUAAGAUGGACUCGCGUCCCAUUAGCUAGUUGGUAGAGUAAAAGCCUACCAAGGCGACGAUGGGUAGCCGGCCUGAGAGGGUGAACGGCCACAUUGGAACUGAGAAACGGUCCAA